rnacentral:lncRNA from 1 species
GAGGCUACGUUCGUCCUUGUCAGAGGUCGGCUGUGUGCCUCCUCACAACCUAGCUGUGCCAUCUCCAAAAUGCGAUAAGGACCGGUAUUUGCUCAGGCAGUGGCUCCAGAUACCAGGGCUUCGUACCCAUGUAGUCUCUGUGGAAUUUCUACGCAAUUAAAUCAGCUUCAUCAAUACCGGUUGGGAACAUUGGAGGGAGAUACGAACUCUAGUACAAGAUAGCCAUUGUUUUGCAAGGUCAGUAGUAGGCUAAGCGCUAACUGUUCACUGCUUGCAAGUCUCUUCCUUAUCAUUUCCAUCUGUCCCGGUGGCAGCGCAAUGCUCUGGCCGGUGUCACGGGCUGCUGCUUGCAACACUGGGCGGAGCUAAUCCCUCCCUAGGAUAUGGUCCAGCUCCCAGUGUU